AAAUAUCUGUAUCAUCAUACAAAUAAAUGCCCUUACUGGGAUUCGAACCCAGGACCAUCGGCUUCGCAGGCAGGGUCACUACCCACUAGGCCAGACCGUUAAACGAUAUGUAUAAAUAAACAUAUGUCUUUAAUUGCCGACAGAUGUCAGUUUUUACCGCGCAGCGAUUUAGAAAUAAUUCAUAUCAAAUUAAAGUUCCUUCGUACAAAAAGCAGCUCCACAAUUAAUUCAAAUCGAUUUCCACUCAAGCGACCCUCACCCCGCAAUCAGAAUUUCAAAUGGCCUUCCAGAAAGCAGCCAGCAUGGUGUAAAGGUUCUUUUUUGAUUCCAAUAUGCCAUUUAAACUGAACGCGCCAAAAGAAAUAGUAGUUCCAACCGAGUUAGGUUGGCCAGCCUGAUGCUAUCUUGGCAGUUGGCACACCUGACCGACGCUAAUUGGACAAUAAAUCAAUUCUUCCCAGCUUCUUAUUGGCGAAUCGUGGCAUUCCAAUAUUGAAAAUUUGGCCGCGCGAUAUUGACAACAUGAUAAAAAAACAAUAGGCGGUUAUCUUUUUCUUUUGUGUUCAUCUCUGGCUCCGGUUCUUAUUAAGGCUGAAUCGUUUACGUUUUGUUCGUCUGUAUCGACCACUGUCUUAUCGGUUAGACAAUUUGUUUUUGAGGGCUCGUUAUUGAAUUAUUAAUAUUAAAAUUUGAGGAUCCAUUACAGAUGACAGAUUAAAACAAAAUGGUUUCGUGUAAAUCCAAACAAUAGUCCGUGAGUCAUGUGUCAUUUUUUGUGGCGUUAUGAUAAAUCUCGUAUGAUCUAUGGAUUUAAUAAAGUGUGGCAAUAAAUGCACAAAAUGCACAGCGUCACCCAUUAUAAGAGUUAUUAACAAAACGGAACGCGUCAGCUAAUCUGGGCGCAGCGUAAUUAAAUUCUGAGAACAAGCGAGCUAUUAAAAGGGAAACGGUAGCGCGUCGCCAUUACGAAACGGAACGUGCAUAAUUAUUUCGUUCCCGCCUUUUUUCUUUUUCCAGUUCGAUUUUCGAAAGCGCGCGCUAAUGUGGCGUCGCUGCCCCUUGGCACGAAGCCUUGUAAACAAUGUUCUCGUAAAAUCACAUUCAAUUGCCAACAGCGCUCAUUUACUUAAUAAAAUUGAUCAGCUACGCGAACUGUUAAUUGCAUUCCUGCAUUCGACGAACAGAAAACAAAAAGCGAUCGGAGUUUAGCUCAAUUAAUACAUCCGAAACUUGAAGUCAAAACAUUUCACGUUUAAAAAAAACUUUUGUUUUUUUCUAUCCAGCCAGACCACCAACGCAUUCAAAUGAGCCAUAUCAUUAACCGCGUAUAAACAAUGUCGUAAAAUGACGGGUAGCAUGGCUGUCACAUCCUCGGUAUAAUAUUAUUCAUGCUUCUUAUCGCCGCGUCUCAUCGGCCGCACUGUUAACAUGUAUUUUGACAGAUGACAUAAGUUUGGCGCCGUAUCAACUGUCAUCUAGCGAUGAAAUACAAUUCGGAUGUAAUAACAAGCUCCCGUCUUACGUGGCUGAUAAAGAGGUUUGUGUAAAUCAAAGGCCUAAUGGUUUUAUGACAACUGUAGAUGCCAUUCACGAAACGUCUUUGUUCUUCAUGUCUGGGUAUUUUAUAAUAACCUGGGUA